UGUAAAAUGGGUGGGGGGCAGUCUAAACAUUCCACCUCACCACCUAAAAAUACCCCAGCAUAUUAUAUAUACGUACAUUAUAAUCCAAUAACCUGCAAAUAUUUUAAAAAUUUAAAUC